rnacentral:lncRNA from 1 species
UGACGCCCCUCCAAGGCUCCAGCUCGGGAGCAACUUUCCUGUAGGUCGGUGCGCUGCUGGCGGGGGCUGCUGAGAGCAAGGUUGAGAGCUGGAACCAGGAGGGGCCGCGAAUAAAGAGUCUGGAGCAGAGGGGUCCCGGCCUCGCCCGCCCAAAUUGGGUCCAGGAAUCGGCUGGACGUGGUCUAACUCCUUUCGAAACUGCCUGUGGCUGCCUGCUGGUACAGUGCCAACGAUUUCAGAAAAAUAAAAAUAAAAGAUGUUCCUGUCGUCUAAAUGCUUUCUUCACACAGUUCGAAAGACUUCAUUUUGAUCCAAGAGCGAAAUAAAACAUCAGGCUAAUAUGAAAUCUUUAAAAUAAAAAUACACAAAAUCAAAGGUACUUUUCAGAAAGGAAACUGGAGAAAGUAUGCGUGUUUCAGGCAUUUAGACUUUCGUGUCAAUUUACCCAAAGGUGUGUGAUCUCACUCAAGCUUUGUUUCUACUUUUCACCAUUGCUUCUCCUUGUUAUUGUUCUUGAAUAGGGGCUGUUUUACUGGUGGAGGGAGAUGCUUACAGCAGCAAAGUGGACACAUUUAGGUACCCAGUGACCAAGUUAAAGAAGGGAAGAAAGAUAAAACACCUAGUAGAGAAAUUUUGCUCAAAGCUCUCCUCAGAGGGAGAAUGUCACUGAAGGAGUGUGCAUGGCAAUAUAUUCCUUCAGAGCCUAGAAGGACUUCAAGGUGACCAAGUCCCAAAAGGAGCCUGCAUCCCUAAGAUUCUGCUAGAAAGAAAGCUACCUUGGGCAAAACCAGAAGCAUUAAUGGAGUAGAAAACUCUGUCAUGCAACUGCACUGACUUUUAGGGUUGUUGAUAACAACAGGUAUCAUUCAUUGCCCCAGCUUGCACAAUAUAUACAAAUGGUUUUUUAAAAAGUGUCCCUGAAACACCAAUACAAUUUUUUUCCGCAUAUUUCCUCUUGCUUGGGGGAUGUCAGCCAUGUUUGCACCGCUCUGGAGAUUUUGGAUGAAAUAGGCUGGCUCCCUCUGGUUUGAGCUUCCUGUAUCUGAAUCUUACAGAUUUAUUAAAGGGGGAAGAGGUCUGGACCAGAGCUUCUCUGAUGAGAAAUUAC